UGCGGAGGAACACGCAUGUGCAGGCCUUGGAAUGAGUUUGAAUGAAGAGGCGGGUCUAGCCUCUCAGCCGUAGUUUUCCCCUCGGUCGGAUCGUCCAGGAUUCGGGAACCGUUGUGGGAAGGACAGUUGCAUCUUCUAACAACUUUACACCAUCUGCGUGUUGUGGCUGUUGCUUUUACAAAAAACCAUAAACAUGUUCUUACUGACAGAGCCGUGAUUACAAGAGAACAAGAAGACUGAUUGUAUUUUUUUGUAAGAUCAGAAUACAGCACUGACUAUGCACAGACAAUCUAGACAAAUUGUAAACACUGUUGCUGACGUCAAAGAAAAUAUGAAUGGAAUUAUUGAAGAAGAUAGAGAUAUUUCUUCUAUGCCUAUUUCAAAAGACAAAAUUGUCAGAGUGGAUGAAUCAAAAAGCACAAAGGUUUCAGAAAUGGAAAAUUUAAAUGGCAGGAGCCCCACAAAUGUGCAGAAACCCAGAGUGAAAUGCAACAAAUAUGUGAGGAGAAAAUCAUAUCAGAAUAGUAAGGAUGAUAGUAAUCUAACAGUUAAUGAAAGCCUUUCUGUUAAACAAAAAGGAAACUUACUUGAACCUCCUUUGUCCUUUUUGACAUUAGACAAACUGCAAAGUCCUUUUUCAGAAGGCAGACCUACAUUUUUGGAUGCUGCACACUAUCUGACGCCAAACAAAGGUGAAGCAGAUGUAAAACCUGAUUGUGGAACCUUGGAGAAACUAAUGAAGAAACCUAUUGAUUUUGCUAGUGUAACUAUAGCUGAAUUUGGGAUUACUCCAGAGUCUUUUACUGCUAAGCCAUCUGUAGGGAAAUCCAUGGCUUUAAAACUUAGGCGCAGAUCUACAAUUGGAGUACGGGGUUCCCCUGAAAAUAAUAGCCUUAUUCGAUACCUUGCCCAACAAAGGAGGAACAGAACCGAAGACCCUUUCACAAAGCAGGCCAGCCCUUUUAAACAUCAAAAUGUUGGCUCGCUAAAGGAUAAAAUAUCUGCCUUCCAAUCAUCUUUUCAAUCAGCGCAAGAGGACGAAGAGAGGGCUUGCUUUCUUGGGCUCUCGCAGGAGGAGAGUGUGUCCCAGGGAGCAGGCUAUUCUCAGAACAACCCACCUUUUACAAAACAGCAUGAACAGUCUCAGUUGAGCGAAAAGUUCGCAUCUGAAUGCAAGAGUGUUGCUUACAGGGAAAAUUUGCAAGAAAAAUUAACUAAUGGUGAUAAAACUGCAGCCAGUAUCCAGGUAUGCAAGAUUCUCUCUCCACCAGAGGAGGUGGCCAUCAUUGAAACUACUACUGCUACAAUUUCAAAGGAAAUUCCCUCUACACCACCAGUUACUGAAUCUGGAAGCUUAUCUUUCGAGAUUAUUCCACUAACGGGCAUCCCAAAGACACCAUGCAACAUUACUUCUGAGUGUAUCAGUGAGGAAGUUGGAGGUAAUACUGGAUCACAGCUAAGCAGAAAGAAAGUUACCUUUGCAGAAGAACUGAGCUUGGAGAUAUUUGAUGAAACCAUGCCACUUGUUACGCCACCACAAAAGGGAAACCUUCCAUCCAGUGAACAAUCACCUAACGGCUCCUCCUGCCUUCGAUCUGUUCUGAAGAAAACACCAGUAAAACUACUGAUGGAAAAUGUGAAGGAACUCGUAAGCAAUACUACAGGCAUGGAAGGAAAUGAACCUCUUUUAUUCUCUGAUCUCUCAAGAAGUUGUGAAGAACUGCAAACAGAUAGAAGCAAUACUAAAACAAUAGACAGAACUGAUGUGUACAGCUCUGAAAAGCCAAUGAAGAGAAAGAAGGUUACUUUUGGAGAGGAUCUAAGCCCUGAAGUAUUUGAUAAAACCUUGCCUGCAAAUACACCAUUGCGUAAAGGAGCGACCCCGAUCAGUAACCCAGGAUCACAAAGCGAUAGCCCUUCCACAGUAAUAAGUCCUAUGAGAGAACCUUUAUCUCAGCCAAAUUUUGAUGACUGUGAUGGUGAUGAUGAAUAUGUUAAGCCUCUUCAAGAGUCUGUAGCAGUCCCUGAGAAUAUGAAAGAAAUUAAUUCCUCUGAUAACAAAAACUCUUGUACCAGAAUAACCCGGUCCUCUACUAAAAGAAAGUAUAGCAACAUUUCAGAAGAGACUGGUGUUACCAUCUCGACAGAUAUAACAGUGAAAAAUGCUCAAGAUAUUAAAAAUCUAAGAAAGGGCAAGGUUCAAAGAGGAAAGGAAAACAAAUCUGCCCCCAAAAGGAUACCAAAGGUAAAACAUAAAGGUUAUGGAGGAAAAAGAGGAAAUAAAAAGGUAGAAAAAUCCUUGUAUAGUCAGAGAGAAGUAGCUUCCAAGAAACCUCUUUUGAGCCCAAUUCCUGAGAUCCCAGAGGUCUUGUCUUCUGCACCAUCUUCUCCAAACUCACCUAAGACACACUUUCUGCUCUUCUCAGAUUAUUCCAAAUCCAGCAAUGCACACAUAGGAUCUAUGAAUGAAGUUGUUGAACAGAAAAAAGUGGUUGGAAGAAUCAAAAGGAAAGUGCCUAUAACAAACAAACGUCCAAACACUAAAGAACUUGACAUUGAGGAAGCCAGCAGCACCAGUGGCAUUGAGUGUCAGUCAUCAGACAGUGGCCCUGAUCCUACUUCAACCAUUAAUAUUGAGGUGCUUAAUAUACAGGAAAACAUUCAAACAGAAAAUGAGCGGGGAUCACCCUUAAUGUCACUAGAACAGAAAGAGAGUGAUGUUUGUGUGAAUAAUCAGACCAGUGAAGAAGACAGCAAUGCUAAGACCAGCUGUCAGCAGUCUGAGCCCAGUUCACCUAUCAUUGUAAAAUCAAAUUCUCUUUUGCCACUACUAAACACUAUUACGCAAGAAAUUAAGAGUACUUCCCCAGUUGAUACAUCUGGCGACAAAGAACAUGAAAAAGCGAGAGAUGUCUUAAUAGAAAAUGGAUGUGUACUGGAAAGUGAUCAUCCUUCAAAUAACUCAGAGAUGCUAAAGGAGCUAGAGUUCUUAAACCUGCAGGACAUCAGUGUAAGUGAAAAUACUCAAACUGGAUGUUCUAUUACAGACUUUGCAAGAAAACGAACAGCUGACAGUGAUGCCAGUCUUAAAAGGUUCAAAAGGUCUUCAAUAAAAGGCAGGAGAAGCACGAUGUACCUUUCUGAACUUGAUAAUCCCCAUUUUGAAGCAUCUGGAAACGAUCUCUCUAGUUCCUGUUCUAAUGAGCAAGAACCCCGAAUAGAAAAUGACUCAGAAAUGUUUUAUGAUCUACAUUACUCUAUAGAACAGUCCUUCUUGAAGGUGAGUGAAGAUCGUGAAAAAAAGGUAAGACGCAGUAUGAGGCUGCAGAAAAAUGCAGAAAAUGAGGGACUUGUGUGGAUUAAAAUACCUAUUGAGAGUCACAAGAACUCUUUGUCAGAUUCUGCUUACAAAUCAAGGAGGACGAUGGAUGCAUCCAUCUUUAAAGAAUCUGAGAACAUUCAUCAAAGACAAGAAAAUUGGAUCCAAUUUUCAGCUUUGGGGAAAGAGAACAAUGAAUGUGUUCCUGUUGCAGGGGGUUCUUGCAAAGCACACAGGAGGCGCAUGUGUACAUCCACUUCCCAGGAAACCAAAAAUAUAACUCAAACACGGAAAAAGAGAAGGGCAAGCCUUGUGUACAAUGAUAAACAUUAUCAAAAGGAGUCUGAAGUGGAAGCAUCCUUUGAGAACCAUCCUAAUGCCUAGGCAAAUUGGGCCAUCCAAUUUUUUUUUUUUUUAAAAGAUUUAAAAAACAAGCUAACAAAUAGAGAAUCUCUACAACUAACAUAACAGUGAAGAAAGCUCCUGCUGGGGUGCAGAUUUUUCCCAUGUUCUGCAGAGACUUUGCUUUACCAUCUUGGCACCAGCAGAGACCAACUGCCAGUCUUUCAGAAACCAGAACUACUCAGGCAACUUUGCAAGAAACUUCAUCAAAAGAUAUCUUUUGUGUUGUACUGAUGAAGAACUGUCACUGAAAUCAGGACCCAUCCACUUUCUUUUACUGUUUCAUCAACCCUUUUUUUCAAGUCUUCAUUAACUAAAUGUUUGCACGUUUAUCUCCUUUCCUGUUCUUCACAUUUUUGGAACUUGAACUCAUUUCUGGAAGAGAGUAGAAUAUGUUCUCUCAAAUGUUAGCAAAAUUAAAUCUACCACAGUGAAAA